rnacentral:rRNA from 1 species
UACGUAGGGUCCAAGCGUUAUCCGGAAUCACUGGGCGUAAAGCGUGCGUAGGUGGCGCGUUAAGUGAGAUGUUAAAUCGUGUGGCUCAACCAUAUCGAUGCAUCUCAUACUGGCGUGCUAGAGGACAGCAGAGGCAAGUGGAAUUUGUAGUGUAGCAGUGAAAUGCGUAGAUAUCAGGAGGAACACCGAUGGCGAAGGCAGGUCUCUGGGCCUAACUGACGCUGAGAAGCGAAAGCAUGGGGAGCGAACAGG